rnacentral:lncRNA from 1 species
GGUAUCAUCUCCCUUUCUCUCUUUUUUUUUCUUUUUGGAUAACUCUAUCUCUCGAAGAUGGGUCAUCGUGCACGUGAAAAUCUAGCAUGGGAAAAAGAUAACAAACAUUUCACUAUAACGGAAGAGGAUAAUGGCUGUUUGAUAGGACAGAAUAUGAUAAAAACCGUUUGAUAGAACGGAAGAUGAUAACGGCUAUUUCAACAAACAGAUUUACGUAGGGCACUGCAGAUUUUUCAAAUGUUGUGGGGCGGG